GCGAGCGGCGGAGAGGCCGCGGCUCGAGGUGGCGUGGCUGGAGCCUGUGCGGGGGGCGUUCGUGUUAACGGUCGAUGAAUUCGGCGUGCCAAACAGACCACCCUUUAAAUAUUUAGAGACGAGGAGCUCCCUAAUAAAAGAUUUACAAGAAAAAAGAAAGAUUGUUAUGGUGCCAUUUAGAAACUCUAACAAAAUAGAUACUACAGACAGACAGUAAAAUAUUUUUGUUUAGCACAUCAUUAUUCUGCGAGAAUAGCCAUUGAUAAGUAUCAAAACGCAGAGGAGAGGAAGAGCCUUACCACCUGGCCGGACUUCCCGACUUAGUGUUUUUAUUUGCGUAUUCUACUAUUUACGGAAACUGUCCUAGGCAAAUACUAUGCUUUAUUUGUUUAGGGCUGGUUUUUGGAUGAGGAAAGAUGUAACAGCGGACUGUUGAUAACGGGUGAGUUGGCCGGGAAGCGUUCGCCACCUCUGCUGUUGUCGGUGCUCCGCAGUGCAGGGAAAGCCGAAAGGCUCCUUGGUCUCCACGUGGGAGCAGUGACCACGAGGCUCCAGCUUAGCCGCUCGGCCGCUUGUUUGCGAGGAGCCUCAGUUCCAGCCUCUGCUCCGGCACAUUUUUUUUUUUAAUUAAGUUUCCAGAUAAAACAAUUACCUGGCAUUCUCUCUCUGGUUUCAUUAAUCUUUAUAAUGGAAGAGCUUCAACAGAGUAUACAAUAUAUUUAUCUACACUGUAGCGUUUUUUUUUUCUUUCCUGGGAAGUAAGAACUAUGGGUUUGAAAUUUCUCAGGAAGAGGCUAGGAAAGAACUCAGGCCCCAGGCUGCUAUACGAAAGUACAGAAAUACAACGGUACCUUCUCUUCCUGUAUUUUAAAUGCACUGACCUUGGUCCAUAGAAGGAGGAUUUAAGGCACUCUCCUGUAUCAAGUAUUCCUUCUGACCAGCUCUAGACAACCGCCUAUCAAGCCUUCACUGUCCGGUUCGAAGCCCCUAGUUUCUCUGCAGAGUGUAGACCAAGAUGUUGCACUACUCCAUGUUGUAAAACCCUGUUUGGAUCUAGUCUUCAGGCCGUAUGAAAGGAAUGUAAGCAGAGUGGUGAGUGAUUUAGGAUGCAUUCUUUUUAUUUCAUAAAAAAGUUUAGGGAUAAAACCAGUUGAAACCUAGGAGCCCAAAGAAGACGCGUGUGUUAUGCAUGUGUGGACAGUUUAUCUUUAGAUGUUCUUUAUUUUUUUUUCCUAUCUUUAUUAAAAAAGUAACCAAAUAAAAAAUCUGUUUUCUUCAUAUGGAAAAAAAAAAUAGGAUAAGAGGCAAAAGCAAAAAUAACUAAAUCUAAAAAGAAAAAAAAUAAGAGACCCCCAUUGCAAAACUUCAUGCUUUUCAGACUGCUGUGAAUUCAAAGGACAGAAGAUGUCAUUUUCAGGUAGAAUACGCCUUAGAUAACGGAUAUAUAGGACAUUUUCCCAGUAUCUCAUGGACAGUAUAUACAAUAGGCAAGGAAAAGGCUUUCUGAGCUGAUUAUACAAUCAUAAGAAGUUGAGGUAGCACUAUUGAAAAUUAAUUUUUCAAAUUGGGUGUUUGAAUAGGUUUUUUGUUUAACAUUCUUAUUGCACCUUGAGUUUGUCUCAUAUCACAGCUGCCAUGACCAGAGAACAAAAGGUAAACAGAACUUUUUAGAUUCUGAUAACGACUAUAAUUAACAUCACGAGGCUGUGGAAAUUGCAGUAUUCCCUAUGGAUUUCUUGUCGUGCUCCUGUGUUGCUGCACUGAUGAUAAAGAUUUUUAAACAGGAUAUCUUCAGUGUUUGGAAUUGUCCUGCCAUUGACAGUAUUCCUGCUCUCCAUGGCUGCUCUCCAUGGCAUCUGUGAAUCUGUUCUUAAUACUUAUGCUAGAACUGUGUUUCUGAGCUAGUCUAGCUGAAAACUGCAUCUUGUCAUAAAGUAAGCAUAUUACUUUUAAGCGGCGUAUGUUGUUCAGUAUCCAAAGAGAAGCCUUUCUUCUUACGAUGUGGUCAAAGCACACAACAUGGGAUUUUUUUGAGCUAGUUAGUAAAACGUUAGUAAAAGCAAGUAUAUUUUAAAAUCCCAGUAUGAGAAUAUUUUAACCAAGAAUUCAGUGAUGUCAUAAAAUAAAUUAUUUUUGCUCUUAAACCUGUGCCAGGGCCAGAUCAAACUAUGGUAUAAAGGCAGUAUUAUGGUAUUGCGGCGCUGACUGAUUUAUUAGAGGCCUUGCAGAGGAGAAGGCCAUUAGCACUGAAGUGUGUAGCCUAUCUGAGCCUCCACCUGUAGCACAGAGUGGUCAGUCCUCAGCCAGUACGACUGUAAAGAUCUCAUAUUUCUUUGCUCAUUUUUAAAUUUUGGUCAUUAACUGCCGUGUCUGAUUAAUUUCUAAGCUGACAGAUUUUGACAGCUGCCAGUUUGGUUCACACAGCGUAGACUGAGCAGGGGAGCUGCGCAGCUGGAACGGAUACCGUGGCCCGAGCUACGGCACUGAACCUGGCACAGGGACACAUCCCGACGCUCUCUACGCUGGGAACAACGUAGAACCUAACAGAUGUACUGAUCAGGGGACUAUUUGUCUUCCAGGCACCUGAGGACCCGUGUUAGUUUCAUCCUAGAUGAGCUGUUACUUACAAAUCGGUGAAUAUGUACAUGUUACUUUCAAAGUUCAAAUCUGAACUUUUCAGUGUCCAGCUUCACUAUCAGAUUAUUAAUAGCAUUAUCUAUUUACAUUAUUUAUUUAUUAUGUAUAUUUCUCUUUAAGUCUGACUGGACGUGAAGAGUUUCAGAGUUUUGUCCAGUAUUCUGCCACACAAGUACAAUAUCUGAUAAAUGUAAAUAUUGUUAUCUUUAUUACUUAAUGUUAUUGCUGUUAUGGUGGGAGUAGACGUGAGGAGUUUAGCUCUGAAAUAUGGUACUUUACACAGACUGAGAAGCAAAUUGUCUUCAAUGACUGACCAAAGCUGGGAGUAAGACAGAAAUACCAUCUCUUUUGAAUUAAUUAUGAACCACGCAGCUCUUGCUGUUAUCUGUUUACACAUUAUUGGCCUUGUGAGGUACUGGAGAGAGAUUGCCUUUCACUGUCUGGUCCAAAUGUACUUUAAGUCCAAUUUCCCUAAAAAGACUGCUCACUUUACUCGUUGAAAGGGUCAUUGUGUUAGUUAUUACAGUGUUUUCUUUGUGCUCGCUUUCCCUGAAUUCCAGUAACUAUUUUGUAGAAAAGUUUGAGAGUGAACUUUUGAUGCCUGUGAAAGCUGCUUCAUUGACUUUAUUGACUCCAGAGGCUGAAGUUCUUUAUCCACAGAGAUCUUUAAAAGGACACUAAAAAGUUUCAGCCAGAGCUUAUAGAAUUUGGUACUUAUGGUUAAGUAUUAUGGGCCCAAUGCUGUUCCCAUGGAGACCGAAAGGAAUUUUUCCAUUGAAUUAAGUGGUGGCAAAGCAUACCCUUUAUUAAGUGGGAAAAGGAGUAGACUGGAAAGCUCAGUUUGUUGUUACGGGGUUUGUUUGCUUGCCUGCUUUUCUGUACAAAGAAAGAAACCAGAAGAAAUUAUAGAUACUUAUGUUGUGAUACAUCUGCUUCAUACUUACUGUGUUUGUAGGUAAAACUGUGUUUGCAGCUACAACGGGAUAUGCCAAGGGGCAACAGUAGAGACAUCUUUGUUUCACUUGCUGCUAGGGUCUUGAAAAUCUGGAUGCGUGGAGGGUGCUUCAGUUCACCACGUGUCUCCUGGUUGGGAGAGGUCAGCAGCAGUACAACUGGUUUCUGUUGGCAGAUGUUAUUAGUGCUUCUUUAACAGAAGGUUGUGUGCCAGGUGUAAGGGCACAGUUUAAUGUAAAUUUGUUAAAACACCCCCGCUUGUUAACAGUAAAUUUUGAUGAUUUCCUAGAACACAAAGAAAUCAGAAAUAUACUCACAUUUAUAAAAAGGGUUUCCAUUCUGGAUGUUUGUGAUACCUCUCAAAUAAGCAGUUGUCAGAAGUCUAUGCUGAGCAGACUGCUUCAUCCAAAGUGAAUUCACUGCUUGAGUGAGGGCUCUACCUAUAUUCCACCGUAGAUAAAUGGCCAGAUCCUGCAGUCUUACAUAUGAAAAUCCAUACUAGUUCACACAGAAAGAGAAAAUCAAGGCCUAAAAUAGUACAAUAUGGUGCUGAUUUUUUUUCUAGUUGGAAUUCUAUCAUGAAAUCCUGAACUACUGAAGUCAACAGAUUCAUGAUUGAUUUAAGUGGAGUGAGGAUUUUGUCUAUAAUGAAGUCCUUUCAUUUUGGAUCACUGCGAGAUUUCUCUUGUUCUUUUUAGUGCCUUAUGACACAUUCACGCUGUCCUUGCCUCAGACAAAGGGAAAUUAUACUAUCAUAGUCUCCUUUUAAAUAUUUUCUAUUUGAAGACUCACUGAAAAGACUCCAGAGGCAAAUUCUUGGUUUAGAAGUUGCUAUUUAUGUCUAGACACAUCUGAAUGUUGUUAUGCUUUGAAUGUUCUGGAUUGCUUGCCACUUUCUUUGUCAGGAUGAACGAGUCUAGAGAGAGAGCACAUUAUUUUAAAUUAACUUUAAAUAUGUUUUAACUGUAUCAGGGUUCUACUUGUUGCAACUGACAAAAAUACCUAACAGUAUAAGCAAGACCACAAGAAAAUUAUUAUUAUUCCUGUUUUAAAGCAGAGCAGAAACAUGUUCUCAAUAUGUGGCAUUGGAUUCUUUUAACAUACUACUUUUUGUAUUUGCAUUAUCAUAUUGUCUUAGACUUCUGGUCAUGGCCAUGAGCCUGCAUACUAGACAUGCUACACAGACAAAACCAUUUUGUUGGUUUUACCCUAAAGGGUUUCAGUCUAAGUGAGACAGGUGAUGACGGGGAAUAUAGUCAGGCAGGGAAGUACCAGAAAAUAAUGAAAAGAUAAUAACUGCCAAGAAAGAGAGUAGUCUCGCUAUUGCUGAUCAACUAUCAAAGCUCUUGAUAAACAAAUAGAUAUAUUUGGCAGUUUAUAUAUUUCAUAGAAAAAAAAUAUAACUACUGAGAUAUGCACACCUGAAGUAAGGAGCCAAAUUGUCUUCAAUAUGUGCCUUCAGUUCCAAGAAUAUGUUACACAACUCAGUUUUCUUUUAAAAGGUCAAAGAAUUAAUGUUUCAUUUCCUUUUGUCAAAGCUGUGAAUCAGUCAGUUGACUCCAAAACUUUGAACAAGAGACAGUACAAAAUAGGCCUCUUCUUAAGUAAAUUAUACAUUGUAAUUGUAAUGUUAUAUGUAUCAGAUUUUUAUUGAGCAUUCUUGUUUUGGCUUGAAAUUGAACUUCUAAGAUUCUGCAGCUCAGCUGAAGUGUAUUUUUGCAAGUACUUGGCCACUACACUUAAAGAUACGGACAAGUGAGUUAGGAUCUAGAGUAAAGCAACAAAAACGAUCAAAGAUCUAGGAAUCAUUACUUUGCUCACUUGUCUGGACAAAGAUUGAAAGAAUGGAAAUUACAUGACACAAAGGAGAGAAGACAGAUUUAAAGCGGGGCCUGGAAGUAUCCAUUCCUUGGAACUGACUGCUUAGGGAGACUGCAGCAGGUCUAGAAAGACAUCUGACAGGAGAGGUGUGCACGCGGUUGAGCUACCUUGAGGUCAGGUGAUCACUUCAACUCAUUUCCACCUCCAUUUUUCUGCAGUUCCAUAAUUCUAGAAGGAUUCUUUGAAGUACUCUAAAGUACUAAAUUAAAUUACUGCUUGUUUUUAUUCUAAAUUUUGUGUUUGCUUAUUAAGCACAUAAAAACUAUGGAGAGUCAACAUGGAAGACAACCAUAACCUACCUCUCCAGCUCUAACAAGGCUCGCACAUCCAAUUAAAGAAGGACGGACUUACAACUCUUGUAAUUAUGUCUGCCUUGCUGUUGUGUAGGUAUUAAUGUCAAAGCAUUUCUGUAUGAGCUAGAUUAAGAAAUAAAUAAUUUUGUAUUGUUUUUCUUUAAUGAGAAACAGAGCCUCUGUGUCAAUCACAAUACUUCCUUUACUGAAUUCAGUGAGAGCGUGGUAGGACUCACAGUAAUGUCAGUCAGUCCAGUGCUGGGCAUGCUCAAGGACAGAUCUUCAAAUUUGUUUUGGAUAUAAAGCAUGGGAAUGCACAAAAAUAAAUUAUAUAGUGCAUGUCAGUUAGUUAUGGUAUCAAAGCUAACUGUGAACAGUCAACAUAAAUGGAGAGUUUGGACAGUAUUUUCAGGAACAUUUCAUCCCUAAAUCUGGAAAACAGAGGUGAGAUAUAAGAGUGGGACUCGUUGGUUUUCCAUCACUGUAAAGCAUACAGAAUACUAUUAAAUAUCUGUGUAUCAGUUUAUCUAACUGAGUUGGUGUUACUGCUGAUUGCAUGCUGUUUUACAUUCUUUUUUGAAGUCUGGAGAAAAUAUUUCAAAUGAACAAUCAAAAGAAUAUUUUACUCUUUUCACAUUCAGGAUGUGGAUUCUGUGAGACAUUUAUUCAGAAAAUGAAAUAUUAGGGCCUGACAGGUAUCUCUAACAUCACUGAGUAAGCAGGUUAUAUGGAGAUUUCUGGUACAAACAACCCAGUAUUUUGAUGAAUAUGUGAGUAAUACCAUUAUAGGAGUUGGAAAACUAGAUUAGAUUGGUGAUGAAAUUAGUCAUUUCAGUGAGUAUAAUAAAGCUUGAAAAUUAACAAUCUAUUAGAAUGAGUGCUGGCAGAGAAAUCUAUAUCGUUUUGUUUCUUUAAACAAAGAACAACAGAGCACUUUGCUUUACAGUGUUAACGUCUUCGUUGCACAGGGCUAGCCGCAGUAGAAGCAGAUUGCUGUACGAUCUCGCAGCCUGGAUGGCAGUGAGUUUUGCAAGAGGGUCGGGGAAAUGUUGUAUUCUCACGUGGAGCUUUUUGGUCGUGGCUUUGUGUUCGUUGUUGUUUUUGUGUACGACAUUUGUCUGGGGUUCUGACGCUCUGGUUUUGGUGUUGUCGUCAAAACGACGCCGACCGUCUCUAUUAGCUGAAGGAGUUAGGAGCUCUGAGACCUUCGAUUGUAAUUACAUUGCUUCAAAUGUCAGGUUCUUCAAAAGCACAUCGCUUUUGGUGAUAGAAACCUAAGCAGCUUAGGUGAUAGAAACCUAAGCAGCUUAAUAACUUCACGGUGCCUUACGCUGUAUUGGGAAUCUCCCUGCACAGAGAAUCUGGUAGGGGAAAUCUGAGUCACAGUGACAGCUUUAACAAACAGGAAGACAGUGAAGGAAAGUGAGUAUGUGAUGAGCUCGGAAUAGGUGAGUUGAUGAUUUGCUAUUUAUAGAUGCACUAAGAGGCUCAAAGACAGGAUCUCCAGACAGGGACAGUAUUUGGUACUGUAUGAAAAUCAUUCCCCUUCAGAGUUGCAAGUGAAACAGAAUUUGUAGCUGGCGUAGUCUCAGUGCCCUGAUUCUAUAAACGCUUUUCUAUAAAAAUGCAGCUUUCGGUGAGAGACUCAAAGACAGUACAUUUUAGCAAUACGGACAUUGCUGAAUUUUAUCUUUCUGUUCUUUAGCAAGCAUAUUUUGUUUUAACAGAGGAAGAACGAAAUGAUGCCAUGUAUCUUUUCAGCUGUAGCUGAGCUUUUACAUUAACUGCAGUCUCACUUCAUUAUUAUAGGUUAUAAUUCAGGAAUGAAUUUGGUCAAUUUACUGGAAGAUUCUCCAUGUUGUCAGGCAAUUCUGGAAAGUUGAGUUGUAGGAUUUAAAUACAGUAACAUGUUGUCAUGAGAAACAUUAAUUAUUACAGAAUCCAGUUGCAUCUAACUAAUCUCCAUCAUCUCAAAUGAAAAACAAAGAGAGUGUAUUAGUUUCAGCUUUUGAUAAAGGGUGUCAUGUCAGAGCUACCUUCUGAAAAAAGAGGGGACUGUAGAGCUCAGACUGCCGGUUAGAAACCUUAUAAUUCUUACCUGGAGACCAACAUAAAAAUGAGUCUGUGGGUUGUAUUUAAGAGAUGGCUGUACAAUAAAUCUGUCUACUGCAGCUGGCACAGAACUGGCACUCUUGAUGGGAGUCUUAAUAUAGAGAUCAAAAAUUAAAUUAACAAUUGCAAAUGUGUUACUUGUCUAAACCCUGGAAGUUGUCCCUCUAAGGCAAUGCAGAGCCAUAGUGCUAGGCGGUGCUGAGAAACUGCUGGGAAGGCGGUAGUCCUUCCGAGGGGCUGAUCCAGUGCUGCUCUGUGCUAGGAUGUGAAGUGGUGCCGGGGACUGUCCCGCGCCCUGGGAUGCAAUCAUCCGCGCUUGCUGUUGUUAGGCUGGGCCCUAGCGUGGCUUUGGCUUGUGUCAGCACUUUCCCAGACAGUUCCUAGACGUGGCUUAAGAGUUGGCUUGGGCCAUUUGCAGUACACAGUUUGGACAUGCCGCUCUGUUUUGACGAGUAGAAGACUUUAGUAGCAAGCAUGACGGCCAUCCUGUGCUAGCUGGCCCCAGUGCCAGAGAAUGGUCCCAGCAUGUUCAAUUUAGUAAGACAGAGGUACCCCUUUUCUCGUGAUAGUACCAUAGGAGAAAAAAACUCCAAUUAAAAGAAACCAUGAAAUAUCAGACAUUAGAAUCCUACAAACAAGUUAAAAGUUUUAUCAUGAAAUAUUUUCUGUCUUUCUUUAAAUCACAAGUAACACAUUUGAGCUAUGAAGUCAAUGAAUCUGUCUCAGCCCCUGGCUAGACCCCCGUCUUGCAUCCGUCGGAGUCCGGGAUCAAUGUCAGGCUUGUUUCAUGGGUGCUGAAUUGAGUGCUUAGCGCCCGGCUCUGUACGGCUGCGCGCUCUGAAAUCCUGAUGAGUUCGAUGAGCACUGAAAGAGCGCAUCGCCUCUGAGACUCGGGCAGAUACUGAAGUCAGUGAAGCCUCACUGAAGUCCGUGUCACAAGCUUAAAAAGCUCAAAAUUAUCCUGGACGUUCUUGUUCAUGCCCUUCAAGAAUCCCGUCUCCCUUCGCGACGGACAACCGAGAAGUCCUGUUUCCUAUCGGAAGUCGAAGUGAGGUGUGUAAGGCGAAGGCAGGAGCGGCUGCCGUUUUGUGAAGGCAUACGUUCGCGUGUGGCCUCAGCACGUUCCCACGAACUGGGCAGCCGCACGCCCGCCGUUCCUGAGCAGCACGCGAGGAGCGGCGGAGACUGCGCUGGCGUACCCUGCCUCCGGAGACAGCUCUGCGGUGCUGCCGCUGGAGCCGUCCCUUCCCGGCGCUCCGCCGUGCUGCGAUCUGCCGGCACUUCUGAGGCUCAUCUGCCAGAGAAGGCUGUCCCUCUGCAACGAAAAUAAAAUUCAAAUCAAUACAGGUAAUAUCAAUUUUGCCUGUUUUGAUCAGGAACAGAUUUAAUUAAACCAUAACCAGCUACUUUGUGUGGAAGUAAGUGUCCAUACAGUCUUCAGUCUAACCGUACUGCUUUAUAGACACAUUUAAAGUUAUGCAGCAAUACAACUUUCUUCUGCAGCAAAGCGCUUCGAGAGUCCUCAGAAUCCUAUGGCACCAAGUCAUAGAAAUAUAAUAUGAAGGUCUAGGACAUCUGACUGUAGGAAACUUAUGAAUGCUGUCUGAAUUCAUGGAACUGUUGUAUUAUUUAAUGCCGUGCUGCAUAAUGACCCAGACGUUUGUUUCAGAAUUUAUGUUGCCUACUUCAGGCCUGAGCUUAAAGAGUUGUGAGAGGAGCAACUGAGAGUCGUUCAUUGCCAUAACCUGCCAUCCUUCGGGAAGCGGUCGCAAAUCCUGACCUGCGUGAGAGGCAGGGGAAGUCUCCUCUCUCAAAGCGAUGGACAACAGCGGAAAAUCUUCAGCAGAAAGUGAAGAGUGAAGACAAAUGUGUAUGUAAGUGCUAUUAAAUGGGGACAUACCUGGUGCUGGAAGCGGUCGUGGCUGGCAACUGCGGGCACGUGUCAAGGGGAGCUCACCGCAGAGCUGCGGACAGCCUGUGACCGGGGAGGAGACUGGGCACCCUGAAGCUGGGCACCGACAGAAGCUGGGUGACGGUAUUGAUUGUGAAGGGCUUGGAAUUGCCUGGAGAUAUUUCAGGAUUUCAGGUUAUAUUCUGUUAACAGAUGUUUUUUCUUUACCCUUUGGUGUUUUUAGUGCAGAUUUACAUGCCUAGACUGUAUAAUUAUUGAUUUUGCAACUGUAUUCACCAAUACAUCUGCAUAGAUGAACCAGUUUUCUUUCUUUAUUUUUAGCCUUCUUGUGUCUUCCUCCUCUUUGGUCUGGGAACUCUAAAAUGUGAAGGAAGUAUAUUUGUUGAAGAAUCUAUAUAGUUGCAGUCUUUUCGUUGUGUUUACUUUUCCUUGUACAGGAUCCUCAACUGUUGUUGCUGGGAUGGUUCUACAGUGACUAUUCAUUGCUAAUUAUUAGACAAUAUAAAUAAAAUACUUUCUUCUUUGUAAA